rnacentral:rRNA from 1 species
CCUACGGGAGGCAGCAGUGAGGAAUAUUGGUCAAUGGCCGGAAGGCUGAACCAGCCAAGUCGCGUGAGGGACGACUGCCCUAUGGGUUGUAAACCUCUUUUAUAAGGGAAGAAUAAAUGCUACGUGUAGCAUGAUGCCUGUACCUUAUGAAUAAGCAUCGGCUAACUCCGUGCCAGCAGCCGCGGUAAUACGGAGGAUCCGAGCGUUAUCCGGAUUUAUUGGGUUUAAAGGGUGCGUAGGCGGUUUUUUAAGUUAGUGGUAAAACGUCGGGGCUUCACCUUGAUUUGCCAUUAAUACUGUAAGACUCGAGUUCAGACGAGGUAGGCGGAAUAAGUUAAGUAGCGGUGAAAUGCUUAGAUAUAACUUAGAACUCCGAUAGCGAAGGCAGCUUACCAGACUGCGACUGACGCUGAAGCACGAGAGCGUGGGUAGCGAACAGGAUUAGAUACCCGAGUAGUC